GCUUAACACAUGCAAGUCGAGGGGAAACGAUAUUGGAAGCUUGCUUCCGAUAGGCGUCGACCGGCGCACGGGUGAGUAACGCGUAUCCAACCUGCCCACCACUUGGGGAUAACCUUGCGAAAGUAAGACUAAUACCCAAUGACGUCUCUAGAGGACAUCUGAAAGAGAUUAAAGAUUUAUCGGUGAUGGAUGGGGAUGCGUCUGAUUAGCUUGUUGGCGGGGUAACGGCCCACCAAGGCUACGAUCAGUAGGGGUUCUGAGAGGAAGGUCCCCCACAUUGGAACUGAGACACGGUCCAAACUCCUACGGGAGGCAGCAGUGAGGAAUAUUGGUCAAUGGACGAGAGUCUGAACCAGCCAAGUAGCGUGCAGGAUGACGGCCCUAUGGGUUGUAAACUGCUUUUAUAAGGGAAUAAAGUGAGUCUCGUGAGGCUUUUUGCAUGUACCUUAUGAAUAAGGACCGGCUAAUUCCGUGCCAGCAGCCGCGGUAAUACGGAAGGUCCGGGCGUUAUCCGGAUUUAUUGGGUUUAAAGGGAGCGUAGGCCGGAGAUUAAGCGUGUUGUGAAAUGUAGAUGCUCAACAUCUGCACUGCAGCGCGAACUGGUUUCCUUGAGUACGCACAAAGUGGGCGGAAUUCGUGGUGUAGCGGUGAAAUGCUUAGAUAUCACGAAGAACUCCGAUUGCGAAGGCAGCUCACUGGAGCGCAACUGACGCUGAAGCUCGAAAGUGCGGGUAUCGAACAGGAUUAGAUACCCUGGUAGUCCGCACGGUAAACGAUGGAUGCCCGCUGUUGGUCUGAAUAGGUCAGCGGCCAAG
rnacentral:rRNA from 1 species